rnacentral:rRNA from 1 species
GACGAACGCUGGCGGCGUGCUUAACACAUGCAAGUCGAACGGAAAGGCCCUGCUUUUGUGGGGUGCUCGAGUGGCGAACGGGUGAGUAACACGUGAGUAACCUGCCCUUGACUUUGGGAUAACUUCAGGAAACUGGGGCUAAUACCGGAUAGGAGCUCCUGCUGCAUGGUGGGGGUUGGAAAGUUUCGGCGGUUGGGGAUGGACUCGCGGCUUAUCAGCUUGUUGGUGGGGUAGUGGCUUACCAAGGCUUUGACGGGUAGCCGGCCUGAGAGGGUGACCGGCCACAUUGGGACUGAGAUAAGGCCCAGACGCCUAAGGAAGGCAGAAGUGGGGAAUAUUGAACAAUGGGCGGCGGACUGAUGCAGCAACGACGAGUGAGGGAUGACGGCCUUCGGGUUGUAAACCGCUUUCGCCUGUGACGAAGAGUGAGUGAAGGUAAUGGGUAAAGAAGCACCGGCUAACUACGUG